CUGGGAAAGGCUUUCCUGUUACCAGUCACCACUGGCCUCCAUCCUGAGCUGCUGGAGUCAGUAAAAUGUUACCUCCCUUGAGGGCUAAUAGACAGCAGGAUCAUCAGGGCAGCGUGGGGAAGUAGGUUAAGAGAGCUUGGGCUGGAGACCUACAGGAAGAGCAGUCCCUCUGGGGAGCACUGGAGUGGCGGUGCUCUGUGGGGUCAGGAGAGACAUCUGAACGGAAAGGAGCAAAGGGCAGGCUCAGGUUAUGUUGCAGCUUGCGUGGUAUCUGGGGUAAUUUCUUUUAGAAGCAGUCAAGUCGGAAGCAGGAGGGAAUGGUGCCAUUUCUAAGAGGUGUGAAAAGCCUGAGUGAUGUAACCGUGCCUGCAGUGAGCAGUCGUGGCAGUCUUGGGUGCAGAUGUUCUGGAAAGAGAAAGGAGAGCCCUGUUUUUCUGAGAAGAGCCUCCAUGGUGCUGUACCCCCGCUAUUUGGCUGGAAAGGCUGGCUAGAAGCCACUGAGACCAGGGGAGAGGUGGGUGCUGCAGGGAGCUUCAGCUUGCGGAGUGCCCCCCACUCAGCAGCACAAGUAGGCAUGGUGGCAGGCAGGGAUUUGGCAGCAGCAGGGCUGAGGGAAGCUGGUGGAAGUCACUUCCCAGCUAAACCCUUCCCCAAGAAGAGUUGGAGUUCUCUCCUUUUUCUUGCUAUAGAGGAUGUUUCUGUUGUUCUUCUUUACCUCCUUUCCUGCACCCUGAUUGCUGGACACGUUGCUCAGAAUCCAGGAACUUGUUGUACGCCCAAAUGGCUCAGUUUUAGCAUCCAGGAUCUCUGAGCAGGGACUUGAGGCAGUGAACCUGGCACCGGCCCCUGCUGCUGCUGUUUGAACCUUGGCAGGCUGUUGUGCUAAUGACGAAAUUAGCUGGGGAAACAACUUGCAGCCUCGCACUGGGUAAAUCUGAGGAGUGGGAAGAGCAGUGCCGAGGUGUUCUGGGCUGAGGGAGCGUGCUGUACGUGAUGCACGGAGCUCAGGGACAGUGCAGGAGCACCCUGGGUCAGCAGGCAGCUCGUGAGCACCGGGAGAGCUGCAUGAGCCUCGUGCAUGGGCCAGUGGGUGGGCAGGGACACGCUGUUCCAGCUUGAAGCCAGCCUCAAAUACUGCUGGUGGUCUCUCAAUGGAAAAACCUUCAGUACAUGCAUUAAACCCAGGUCUGUUGAUAAGGACACGCAUACCAUGACCUAGCCAUGGUUUUCUCACUCUGUGAGCAAUGUUUGCUUGGGCUGAUGUUAUAUUUUCUGGGACCUACCCUGCUGUGGCUUCAUAUUUAUUGUUGCCUGUUAAGCAGCGGUUUUGAUCAUGGGUGAGCAGAAUUUCAGGGCUUACAUCUACUGCUCGUCGCACCCAAGGUAGGGUUUUGACUUGAAAGAAUGGGGACAAACAUUCCUUUCAUCCUGACUACUGACUCGCACAGGCUGAGAUCAGAGCCCUUCUGCUUCCAGAUAGGAAACAGCUGCCAUUAUGUUCAUUCUCUAAAAGCUUCUAGAACUGGCCGUCCUCCAGUUUCCCUUAGCAAAACCCUUUGGUGAGCUGGGAGGCUACAGGUGGGCCAGCUGCUGCGACGCUGCAGCCCUGAGCCCUGCCGUAGCUGCUGACACAGCCAGAUCCCGGGGUGGAGGGAACAGUGAGGAUGAGAAACUCGAGGUUUUCAAGCAAGGGUGUAAACCACUAGUGGCUUGAGAGACUUCGGAAGGGGAAUAGCUGGAGAAGAUUUGGAAGGCAGAUGCAUGCCUGUGCUCUGAGCUGACCAGAAAGGAAUCACACGGCUGCAGUUCUGUGGUGCUGAGCUAAGGAGUUUCACUGGAAGGUGCACUCUGCUCCCAGCCUGCUCCAGCGCAGUCUGCAGGCCAGUCUGCAGGGAUUGCCCAGCAGAAGUCUGAGCAGCGUUGGUUUGCUCAUGUUUGACAGAACCAGUGUGCAAGUGUGCUGGCUUCCCCACCCCUGCUUAUCUCAGUUGCUCUUCUGCUUUCUGCUUCUGUCCCACCAACACUAAACUGCAGACAGCAGAAACACUUUUUCACCAUGCACGUGGCCGGGAAGACGGAGUGGAGCAGGGAUUCCAGUUCAGUGUAUUUUGCAAAACCAUAUGCUGUUCUGCAAGAUUUUGCCCAAUAAGCUCAGCUCUAAGAGAAUAAAAAAAUAAUAGGCCCCCAAGGACACCUUGCAGAAUCAGGACUUUUCUUUUCAGAAGUGAAAAAUGUUCACUUUCAUUGUGGAUGGACGGGGCCCACAAAUUCUGGCCUUAUCUUGAUGGCAUCACUGCAAUGCAUGGAGUUUCCCCAGGAGUGAACUUUCCCCUACAGAUGAGUUUUGUAAUUCUGCUUUUCAUGGGUUACCCUAAUCCCUGGAGUCCCCUUUGUAUCAACACUGCAAGAGAAGCCUCAUCUCAAUGGUCACAUACAGAGGAGUUUGAUAAAGAGCAGCGAUAGGCUGGAGGAUAACACUAUUAGCAGAUAUUAUCAGCACUGCUGUUCCUGCAUGUGACAGAAAAUUGAGCACAGGCUGGGAUCCUCUUUGCUGCUUACAGAAACCCAGGAUGCUGCAGGUGGACUGUAUCUCAGCAGAAUUUUGGUGAACUGUUGGAGAUACCUGGGUGAACUAUCAGCGUGCCUCGCAGUGUUAUGGUGGCUGUCAGAGCAAGGCUGGUGGAUGCGGGCUGUGUCAUUUACACCCUGCCCUGUCCUGUUCUCUGCUGGUGCUGUGUGGUGAAAAGCGACCUUUUGCAGAGUCUGGCCUGAGGUAAGGCAUCGGGGUUUGUUCCUGCCCCUAGCUUUACGGUCUUGGGUCAACUGCAACCUUUUGCAUGAGGGGUUCUAGGAGAAAAUGUGUGUUCACCUGUGUGAAACCUGCAGCCUGUCCGGCUAAUGCAGUCCUUCACCUCCGCAUAAUCGGUCUCUGAGAGCACAAAUGGCAGAAGGACAGUGGCUUCAGCUGGUGGCACCCUGGUUUUGCUGCUGCAGUAGGCUCUGCUGGUUCUGGGUAGGUUUUGUGGACAGGGAGAUGUAGCAGGCCUGUGUGCAGACAACUCGUGUUUGUCUGGGCCAUGGCGUUAGCACCCUUCUGCAAGAAGCCUCAGGUGUGUUCUUCAGUCUGCCAGGCAAUGUGCUUGGGAUCACAACCGUUUCCUCACAGAUGCCCACAAAACGUCGUCAUGCGAGAUGAUAUCUGUCAGCUGCUCUCACCUGGGUGAGAAAUGUGAAUUAUUGCGUGCUCUGCCUGCCUUGUAACACAUCAAGGUCUUGUUUCACUAGUGAUGUGAAUGGUAGAAACCAUAAAUAUACUUCAUGGGGGGGAGAGGGAGGAAUUGCACCAUCUAUUAUCCAACUCGAGCAAAGUGACACGAACAAGGAUAUUAUUUUAGAAAGUUUAUCUCUUUUGUAUCUAUGGUGACAAGAUCCUUAUCGGAGCAAGACAGACUCACAGGCUUUCUGCUCCUUGUUAUCUCAGUGUAGGAUGACAGUAUAAGUAUCAUGGCUAGAAAUGUUAUCUAUCCUUUAUUAUUUCACUUGUGAGGGGCUAACGAGUGUUAUCAGGGUGUUUACAAUCAAAACACGUGCAGCUCAAGUGAUAAAAGGGAGAACAGACAUCUGAUCUCCAAGGAUAUGAAGACAAUACAGCCUUGAGCAGGAGGAGAUGGAUCUUAUUAUUGAAAAUGGUUUGGCAGGCUGGGAAUGGACAAACAAGCCCAGGCGACUGCUCACAUCAUAAGUUUGAGAGACAGGGUGGGGAGAGAAGCACACAUACGCGCGCACAUACUCUUGCAGAAAAUGAAAAGGCGAUCGUAUCAACAGCACUCUCAGCUGAAAGAGAAAUAUUUUCCAAUAAUUUUGUUAUGAUUUUUUUUCUGUACUAUCCUCUCACUUGGAGCGGUAAUGUGGCAAGCUGUCAGGACCAGCAAGUGCAGUGGAGUUGCUUCAAGUGAGUCAGAAUCUGAGAAAGCUUACCCAGGCUCGGAGGGUGGAGAACAGACAGCUGCCAAGAUUACUUGUCAGGGGUUUCAUUCAGAUUAGCGUGGCACUGACCCGAGUUUCUGCAAGGUAAGGAAUUAAUUUAGGGGUGCACAGACACAGGGUUAGCGGUGACCGUAAACAUUAUCCUAGAUCUCCUCAGGGUCAGAGAGGCUAAAUCCCUAACGGACAGAAGUCUGACCCUGGGAUGCUUCUAUUACAGAUCACUGAAAGGAGUUCAAAGAUGUCCUAGAGAGCAGAUUCUCAUUAGUCUACAGUGCGAGCAAACCAGGUGCAAGAUGGUGUCAAAUUCUGGUUUUCUUACUUGACAGGAAUUACCCUCAGCUGCUAAGGAUGGGGCUGGGCAGUGCAGCACUCCAUCCAAAUCCAGACCUUGAUCCUGGAGGUGGCUGUGUGCUCAGGUCGAGUUCACUGCCUGUUUUUCGCUUCUGUUGGAGAGGUUAUGGCAGGGGAUGAUUCCUGUCUUUUUUCCCCUUUUGGUAUUAAAAUUUUCUUAAGCCAAGCAGAGGGCAUUUGUCCUGCAAAAUUAAUGUUUUUCCAUCAUCUUUUCUCACUUGCUUAUCUGUCCCAUGGCACACAAGGGCACAGAAGCUUAUGCCCUGGGAAAUAGCAGGAUCUGCAGGCAGCAGAGGACCCAAGCUGAGGGCACAAACACCAGUGCCACGUUUCUCCCUCUCCCAUUGGGAAGGAGAUGGGGAGGGUGGCGUGUGUCUCGGUGGGAUAUAGAUGGCAUCAGGCAUUGGGAGGGACAAAGGAGGGGGCAAUUUGUGGGCUGCUAGCGACAGCCCCAUCUCUGAACAUCUUGGUUUGACUGUAUGGCUGGCUGAAAAUGGAAAGUAGGUAGCUUUUUUGGAUAAUGGGUAUGGAAUGAGCAUGAACAUCUUACAAGCAGCAUUAUUCUGCAUUAGCCUGUCUGCUUAACUCCAUAUUCAUCUUGAUUUAGGUAUCAGAUAAAGCGAGCUGCUUGCGACCUGUCUAAAUGACUCUCACAUCACUCUCUAAUGGCUGUCAACUCCAGGUAACCCUCCUUCACCCGUGGGUACUGGCAGCAACCCCUCUGCCUUGUUUAUGAGAAAUAAUCUCUGGUUGUAAUACACGUAGUGUUUUUAUUUGAACCCCUAGCUUUGGAGGGCCAGUGGGGCCAUUUUGUAUGGUAAUGUAUGACCCAUCACUCCUCUCCUGCCCUUCAUCUCUCACACCUUUAAUUGCACUUGUGUUUCUGAAGCAUAUGGAAUUCAUUAUUCAGCAAACAGCGUCCUUUGCAAUAUCAGCCUUAAUUAACUGUUCCCCUCUGCAUUUUCAUGCUCUUAUCCUCUCCAAAUCUACACACUGAGACAGGCUGAUGGCCCCCCACAUGCAUCAGUGCCAGCCACUGAGCCAUGACCAGAUAAGAAGAAAUGGAAUUCCUUAUCUCUUUUUUUCUCUUUAAAAUACAUACACACACCAACACGCAAACCUGGAAAAGGUCAAGGUUGCUGGGAAGGGAGAAGGCCCUUCAAGACAACAAAACCCCCUUCUCUUUUAAGUCUCCAUAGCAACUCGAUGGAGCAUCAUGGGAUGUCAGGAUGAGAGAGGCCUAUUCUUUCCGUGCAACACUCUUUCCACUUCAUUAGACUCUUUAUCAAGUAUCUCUGCACUGGGCUGAGUAUAUUUUUUUGUGUCAGGGAGCAGUGCGGAUGACUCAAAAGCAUGCUGACCUUUUCAGUGGGACCUGGGAGUUCCUUGUGGGAGUCGCAUCCUCUCCCCUCGCCUUCCUCCCCCACAGCCCCCUUGUCUCCAGUUCACAUGACCCCGGUCUGCAUGGCCUUCUAAUCAAAACCCUGUGGCUGGUGAGGUAUGAAGGGUUUCUUUAUAAAGAGAAAGGAAGAAAAAAGCAAAAAGAAGAGUAUGAGAAUGUCCUUCACUGGCACUGGAGGUGUCAAGACCCUAGCUGUCAGAGCUGUGCGUCUAUGGGGAAGAUUAAUGACUCUGCUCAGAGAAAAUCCAAAUAAAAUGGAAGAGAAUAAAUACCAAGCAACUGUGUGGAGGAUGAAGGGAAGGGUGAGGAAGGAGUGAGGGAGUGUGACGGGGCAGAAGUAUUUCUCAGUCUCGGAAGUGUUCUAACUCCCCAGGGAGGAACAAGUUAGCAUAGAAAUAGCAUAGGAAAGCUCUUUGGAUUUAGUCCUGUGGUCUUGAAGGGAUGUUUCCGUCUGUGGGUAUUGAUCAUUGAGCGUGCUUACAGAGCGCUGGUUGUGGUAAGGCGCAAACACUGAAUAUUGUUAUCUUAGCUUCCCUGGAAAAAGUACCCACUGUAGAGAAGCCUUUUGUUUUAAGCUUCUCACCACACUAGCCUGUUUCAUCCUCAAGGAACCUUGAAUUGCUUUGCAAAUCAAUGCACUGGUUGGUCUUUGGAAGCAAAGUGCUGGUUUUAUGCCAGGCGGUAGCACAAAGUGCAGCCCAGGGAGCUGCAGGUCUGGCUCUGCAGGGGUUAUCAAGUGAUCAGGACCUUGCCAUGGGUGAUGGGAUUGUAUUAGCUUGUACCACAGAUGCAGUAGGACCUUGGAACCAGCCUUUUUGGGCUUACCAAGACACCACAACUACAUUUAGUUUUUAAGAUGAUUCUUUGGAUUUUUACUUCUUCCAGGGAGCCAUUGCGUGACAGUUUGCAGCUUAAUUUGAACAGACUUCACACUACGAGAACCCAGCUGAGCUUCUUACCACAACAGCUCAUGGUGUGAAACUCCGUAUGGUUGGAACCAUAUGAAUUGGGCAAGGAGAGGGGCUUGUUAGUAUGGAUGACUGACAAGGCCAAAGUCAUUUAAGCAAGUGUUUGUAAAGAGCCUUGAACCUGGGCAUGCUUACACCGUGUGCUCCUGAGCUAGAUGAUUUACAUGGGUGUUUUUAGGGGGAAAAACCGUAAAAUAAAAUGCUCUGCACUUACAGAAGGAGUCAGGGUUAUGAAUAUCCCAGUCCAACUGCUUCAAUCCUCAAAGGAGUGAUUUUGAAGUGGGAAAUCCCAUUAAUUCAUAAUAGGACUCUUAAGUAGUUCCCUCUGAUGAAUUUGUGGCACUCUGCAAGUCCCAUAAUUCCCAAUAUACAGAUGAGGAAACUGAGGUUAAGUGACUUAGCCAAGGUCACGUAGGAAAUCAAUAACCACUCCAGCCCGGGUAGGCAGCACCUCUCACUGACUUCACGCAACUUCGACUCCCGUGAGCGAGCUGUCAGCGCUGACCAAGUGGGAAUACCAUCCCCACCGUCCUCCUGGUCCCAGUGAAGGAAACAUGGGAUGGACGCUGUGUGAUGUUACUAACCAGGUGCACCCCUGUUCUGGCACAGCUGGGCUGUGGGAGCACGGUUACGGUGUUUGAGCUUGGCAGCUCUAAUGAAUGUCCUCAGGCCUCAGAGGAGGCCUAGCCAUGCAGAGCAGGGUGGUCGGUGGUCUCCAACCCCAACCAGAGCAACGCUGCUUAACCGUCCCUGACAGACGGGUGUUGUCUUGCUUGCAGAAUCCUCAAAUAUGGAGACUCUGCAGUCUCCUGGUCCCCUGCUGUCCCAGUUUAUCCCAGUGCCCUCUGCCAUCUGUCUUAGCACCGUUGCUUUCCCGUGGCACGGCAGGCAGGAGCCUGAAUCCCAUACGCUCCAUCUGUGUAAGGUGCUGUGGUUGUGCUUCACAGUGUGUUUCUUGUCAUCUGCGGCUUGCAUCUGAAAAUGCAGCAAGAGCAUCUCUCCUGCAGGUGAUGCGAUCCUGGGAAAAGAUUGUCUUCUGGCAGGAUAGGGCCUCCUGCGGGACCUGCCUGCAAUGGUGAGCGUCUCUGCUGGCAUCUGUGGGAGGCCUGUCAGCUGGUGCUCUGUCCUUCCUCCCUGCUCACCAAGUCUCUUUGCUCCUGUUUCACCUUCCUCUGCUCGCUGCUUUUGUCUUGGGCUCGUGGUGGGGAUUGUCCUGAUUUAGGGGUGUUUCAGGAGUGGGGAUAUGUGUGUUUGAUCUAACUUCCUUCCCACGUGUGGCUGGGCCUGCAGAAAGGGGCUGUUUGUCCCAGAGAAGGCAGGCAGGCUGGCUGUAAUCCUGUCAUCCUUAGCUUGCUCAUUGCAAGCCGACGAUCACCUACGUGUUGUCUUUACCUCUUGUCCUCUUACCAGCACUGCUAGCUGGAGUCACACGGGAGCAAGAGGUGCUAGACUGGAUGCAGACUUUUAGCAUGGCUCAAGUCUCCAGAAGGAAUCCUUCUCUGUCCAGCAGUGGCUUGCUGCCCUGCUCUUUUUUUUUUUUUUUUUUUUUCUGCAGUUUUUCUUUAGCUAAUUCAUAGCUAUUUGAAUUGCUGAUUCUGCUCUUGCUGUUACCGUAGCCCAGUGCUAAUGAUCUGGCUCUAUUUCCUUCCCAGGUAAAUGGUACAAAAGCACAGCAAGCAACCUGGAGCCCGCUGUCUGAACAAGCAUGUGCUGGGAUUAACCUGUUGCCAAACAGCUUCACUGUAUUUUUUGUAGUGCUUCCUGCAGCCGCACCUGACAGUUCUCCAGAAGGCCGAUGAGAAGCAGUUAAUGAUAAGGUGUUGUUCUUGAUGCCACGCUCCUUCCUACUUUGCUCUAAGGUCUCUCGAGGAUGGUGUGCACUUCAUAUUUGCCUCUUUUCUGAUCAGCAUUUCUACACUCAUUUGUCACUUUCCAGACCUCCGACACACUCUCUGCUCUGUAACUUAACCUGCAGAAAAGGAGAAACUCUCAGGAAGGGUGCAGGUGGACUUGGGGGUCUCUGGAUGAAGGCUGAAAUGCUCAUCUGGGCAGGAAGGUGGGUGGGAGCCCCUGCAGAAGAAAGCUUGGCCUCAUGUAGCUCCUGGAGGCUGUCCAAGCCCGGCAUUGAAGCUGGCUAGCUUGCUUGAUACUUUUCUUUGGGCAGUUUUCUGAACUUCUGUCAGGGCUGGGAUCACAGCAGCCCGUGCUGAUGCUGGGAGAAUGCUAGGGGAGAGACGCAGCCUUGAGGACAUUUCCCCGUUCUGCAGCGCAUGGCAAGCAGUGGUAUUUCAGAUUCAGUGGGUGGCAAAGGAAAUAUUUUGGACUGCAGACUGUAGCUUUAAAAAAAAAAAAAAAACACAACACUCUGCAUUUGUUUGCGGUUUCCUUCCUGAAGCCUUUACUGACUCUGAAUAUAUAUAUAUAUAUAUAUAUAUAUAUAUACACACACACACACACAUAUUGCAUCCUUUUUUACAUGCAGGUUUUAAGGCAAGACGGACUUAUUCCAUCGAUUAUUAUGACUGCAGGUAUUAGCUACUCUUUUGAAUGAGGGAUGGCUUAGGUCCCCAUCCUCUGCCACUGGUUUGAUUUCACCUUCCUUCUUAUUAUGGCAUUUCUGAGAAAGCUUCUUGUUUUAUAUAGCAGCUGUGUUGUCUUAAUGCAGCUGUAAUGUGUGUUUGUCCAGGCAUUGCCUUUGGGGGACAGCAGGACUAGGAAGAUGUUUUAUUAGAUCAUUCACAAGUCCUAAUAAUCUCUGAGUCUCUGUAAUAUCUCUGGAUGUCAGCUGUGCGGCUUUCACUGUGUGGUAUGGGGUUGUAACCUGGAGAUGGGAAAUCGCUUGUGUAUGAUCCUGUAUCAGUUUCAUCUUGGUUUUAGCUCUCCCCUCCUGGCUGUUUCCAGCCAUCAAAGAGGAGUUAGUCCUUGUAUGCCAGAUCUUAAACUGUAUGUUGGCAGUUCACACAUAGAGCGGCGUAGCAGCAUCAGAGAGGAUCCUAAUUGCUUGGAGCCUGGCUUGUGCAACUUGCUGGUGGCACAGAAGAUCUUCCCCUGCAGACUGGAUCCUGGACAGCAUUCCCGUCCCUGCACCUCCAGCUGCCAGUGUCUAGGCUAUGGUUUGGAUACAAAAACACGAGCAACAACUGACCUGAGCAUGGAAAUCAUAAAGUCUACCUCGUUACUGAAUCUUCUGGUUUUCAAGAUGAGAGUAUACUGCUUUAUUUAAGGAUAUCUUUUAGGCUUCUGAUAGUCAAAAUGGAUGGCAAAGCUCAUUUCUUCUCCAUCUCUUCAUUAAGUGAAGAGGAAGAGCAAGGAUCAGCUUGUCCAGCCCUUGUGCCCACUCCCUCCAGGGGGAAUGCUUCACCCGUGGCCAUCGUGGGGAGGUCCUCAGAAAAAUCCUGCCGGAUCUAAACUCAUUCCUACAUAAAAGCAUGUGGCCUUCUGUUGCAAAUUCACAGCUGCUUGUGGCACGUGCCUCUCUCUGAGCUGGAGGGAGCCCGAGCAGGAGCCCACUGGGAUGCUGCAUAUUCACACUGACUCCAGUCAAGUGACUGUGCCAGAAAUGAAGAAGAGGAAGGAUGCGACCUGGAAGAUAUGUCCAUAAUGUGGUCCUUCAAAGAGUUCACAACUACCCUGGCACCGUGUGCGGUUUAAAGAGGGAGAGGGAGAUUUUAUUAACACCGAUUGCAUGGAAACGGAGGUCGGCCGUGCUGCCCCCACGCAGAUAAAAAGACAUUAAUGCACUUAGGCUGUGACAGCAAAGAGCAGCUGGUUUUAUUUUAUGUUCCUUUUGACUUCAGUGGGAGUUUCGCAUGAGUAGUGCAGGACUUUUGGGACUGGGUUCAAUGACAGAUCCUGCUGGUGAGCGUAUCUGGAGGAAGGGCUGUGAAGGAGCAGCCUGCUGUCAGCCCGUGGUGUGGAGCAGUGAUGGCAGGAUAUAGGGUGACCCCCAGCACUGCGAUGGCACGGAUAGAUGGUGAGGACCUCAGGAAUGCUGGAAAUGGAGGAGUUGUGGGAUGUGCAGGUGUUCCCAGGUUCAUUUCUCAAUGUCUCACAAUUGAAACGGAGAGAUGAGCUUUCGUGUGGCCCAGGCAGCAGACAUGGAAAGCUGUAGGAAAGGACUGUGCCUGAUGUGGGGACACCUGCCCAAAUCCAGCCAUGAGCCUGGUCCAUGCUGUGGGCUGGUGCUGUUCAAGAGGGUGAGGAAUUAAAGCCCCGCACGCGCCGCUCCCGCCUGGCGCAGCCAGCUGUGAUGAUGGAUGGAUCUCUCAGUCCUCGGCAGGAAUUGUACAACACCUCAUGACUGCGCUGCCCGAUCGAUUAGUACAUCUCCUUCAAUCAAGCAGACUAUUUUGUGCGAGCCUGAAGCUGGCUUUCCGAGACGCGGGCUCCAACCUGUCUGCGCAUUUUGCAGCUCGUAGACCACCUCCCUGCUGGAGGGGCGGGAUUUGCUUCGGCAAAAGCUUUCUUCUUCCAGGUCAUCUAAUUCGGAGCUUUCUGAUAAAUAGGCUGCUCGACAUUUUUUGAUAUAAAGGUCAACAUCCUCUGAUAGACUCGAGGAUUUUAAGAUAAGUGGAGGAAAUGGCAUUGGUAGGCUGAUUUUGAUAAUGAUACUAAUCUUGUGUCUGAUCUUUGAUAAUGAUACUAACCCUAUCGGUGUGCCGCUCAUAUCUCUGAAAAUGUGACUGGUAUUUUUUUUGGCAGAACCACGCUGGUUAGCACAGAAUAGCUUUACUGGAGACUCUAACUUGUGCAUGGGCUGCUGUAUAAAAUGCAGAAAAGGAACCUUGAAUCGUUUUUAGGGCAGAUUCAGUCAGAGUAAUUGUUUUUGGCUGCAUAUGGUCACAACCUCCUGAGUCAGCUUUCCCAAAGCCGUGACGUAUUUGCUAAUUAAUUAUUGCACUGAUGAGUACACAUUUGAUAUAACAAUUGGAAUGUACUUCUGGGGGCAGACUCUCUUUUUUUGCAGAACAGUUCCAAGUGCCAGAAAUCCUUUUAUUCAGACAGAGGACAGGGACUGCCCUUUAUCAGUAGUACUGAGGAAGACAAGAGGGCCAAGAGAGUGUGGGCGAGCUCUGUGCUUUGGGAAGCCUGAGAAGUGCCUGUGAUGUGGAGAUGUGGGUUUAGACCUUCUCGGGCUCAACAGCACUGGGACCUCAGUCUCUGUGGCUGGAUGCUCACUGUUAAAACAAGGUUGUGCAGUGAACAGAAGGGGCAAGCUUUCCUCCCCAGAGCUGCUCGGCCAGUCUGGUUGUGGUUGUGCUUCUGUGGGGCUGAGCAUCGUCCCCUCUUGUGGGAGCUUUCUCCUGGUGUAAGAAGCAGAGAAGGUGGGCUACGGAGGAACUGCUGUCACCUUUGGAGACCACGGCAGAGGCUGUGUGAGCACCAGACUGUGCAGCACACAGAUCGGUGUGUUUCUGUUCCUUAGACUCACCCAGCAAAGGUCUUGAGGGUUCCUGGGGACAUCAGGGCUGGCGAGGUCUGGUUUCCGGCAUAUCUGUGCAUCUGCAGGGUUUUGGUGCCUCUUGUGAAUGCUAAUUAAAAUUUUCUCAAGGUAGGGUGAUAUAUAAACAGCCCUCUGUUUUUAACAUGAUUUAUAGUAUCAGUUUUGAGGUAUUCUUAGAACCAGGUAACUUGCAUUUUGUUUGUCUUCUCUUUAAACAUCUGUUUUUCCCAAAUCUGUAAGGACAUAAUUAUCCCUGAUGCUGUCACCUCUCUAUUCAAUCUUGGUUGAAAUAAGCCAAUCGCUUCAAAAGUUACCAGGGAUGCACACCACCACACUCCUGUGCAGCGCAAGUGUUUCCCUCAGAAAUGAGGCUGAAGAGCUUCGUGUCCAGCAUUAGAACAUGGCUCAUGAGGGGCUGCUCUCUGCCUUGCACCCUUUGUCUCCGUGCAUUGCCACCUCCCACAGCCCCUGCAGCAUUCGUCCCUGCAGCAUGUGGUCCACCACAGGCAUGCGUCGAAAUGUGACGAGCGUCUCCCAUCAGUUGGGGCAGUGCUGCUCUGAGCCUGGCUCACACCAAGGGCCUGUAGAUGUUCAAUUCCUUUUACAAGGUGUGCAAGUAACUUUCUGGUGUCUGAGCCAGAACACUGGAGUAAAUGCUUUUCCCAUCUCCCACCACAGUGGACUGAAAUCCCAGUAGAAGCAACUUAUUCCUGCUACUCUACUGUUGCUGCCAGGAGUUAUCUGUCCUAGCGGAAGGGAGUGUGCUUUGUGUGUUUGUUAGGCUCUUGCAAUUGCUUGCUCCCUGUAGAGAGAGGUAUAAAACUUCUUCCAGGUGACAUUUGCAGAAAAAAAAAAUCAAUUGUUUAUCAACAUCCCGGCAAUCAAUAAGUGCAGUGAUAGGUGCAACUGUCUCUAUUGGAGCUUGGCCUUGAUUGCUAAGUAGCCAGCUUUUUGCUAAAGCCACCUGUGGCUGGAGCCUGGACAUUUCUGUGGGACCAAAGGAUGGAUCUUGGAGGAUCUUAGAGUAGAGACCUGAGGGGCGCCUUGUGCUGCCCGAGCCCAUCCCUUCCACUAGGUGGUGGUGCGUAUUGCCUGGGGCUCAUCCUCUUUGGCCUGCUGGUCUCUGCUGUCUGGCAGACCUCAGGAGAUGCUUGGGUACGUGUGGACAGAUAGCCAGCGUGUCUGGUCUCUGGGAAUUUCGACACCAAGCUGCAGUUUCACAGUGAAGAAGGGAAACACGGGACCAGAGACAAACCCUAGUUCCUCAGUCCCAGAGGAAUUCACCAUCCAUUUCUGAAGUCUAAAGUGAAGCUGUGCCCACUUGGCCAUCUAACUUGAAGUCCCCAGGGUCUUCUUGCUGCAUCUGAAGUGCCCCCAUGCCUGUAUCGCUUUUCCCUUCCUGAUUUCCUCAGCAGCCUUGGCUUAGCACUGGAGCAGAUGGGACGGAUGAGGACCUGAUACGAGGCUUGGGUUCCUGCUGGUGGGGCAGAUGAUGGUGCUCGCUUUCAGCACCCUGUGCCAGCAUCUCCAGGCAUCCUUCUCCUUCCUUCAGUGCUGCUGGUGCCCAGCGGAUCCUGGUUGUGCCCAGUGCUGCUCCCUCUGCUCGGGACACCUGCAGGCAUUCACACUUGCUUGCAGCUGACUUGGUAUCUCACCAAAUGAGGGAAUUCAUGUGGCCCUACCUGCACAGCGUUCCUGUGCCUGAGCUUUCCCUUCUAACCAACUCUGAGUUCUUCCAGUGACUGCCGACAAGGCCAAGAUACCCUCUUACAAAAGAUGCAGCACAGGAGUAGGGCUGGAAGAGUUAACACUGGCAGCUCGCAGACACGCUGGAGAGUUACAUCAUGUUGCUGUGGAAACUAACUUUCUGAAACCACAGUGAUGUAUGGUAAAGCUUUGGGUCAGCGGGUAAUAAAUUCUGUUUAAAAAGUGAUUUUUUCCCCAUCUGCUGAUGUAAACAUCAUUAAGAGAAAUGACGGCUGAGAGAUGGAUUUCUUUUUAUAUCAAUUUUCAGACAAAGAAAAUAAUUUUUUUUUAUAAUAAAAAAAGUUGCUGGAAAUCAGAGUGUGCUAUAAAUAAUAAAAUAAAGAAAAAGCACCGGUGAUGGAACAGAAAUUUUCCCUGGUGAUUGGUUUACAGCUUUCUGUGAUUUAAUGGUAACUUGCAGUUGCCUGUGGGAAGAAGCUGCAGCAAAGCCCUGGAUGUGCUCCAUGAGCCGGCAGCCCGGCUGGCCUUAGAGGAGGCUUUUCCACUGCUGUCAGCCCAGGGUGAGCGGCGUUUGCAGCAAUGCCUGAGCCCUGUCUUUUUCCUCGAGCUGCUCUGCUUGGCUCUGGCUGUGCAGGGCCUCUCCUGCCAGACCUGCUCGUGUCUUGGUAGGACGCCGCGAGCUGCCCUUGCUGAGGAUGUAGCCUGGGUGAGUCUCCUCAGCAUCCUGGUUGCUCCGUUCGUUGCUGGUCAGCCUGAUCUGAUGUUGGAUUUGCAAACUGCUGCCUAAAUCCCAAGCUUUGAGGACUUCAGAACAUCGCUGCAAUACAGUUCCUCUGUGCCGUGCAUUUUCUUGCCCUGCCCAUUGCCACUGAAGGGAGAGUCUGGAGCAGGGGAGCAAAGCUCACUCCGUUUACACAAAGCAAUGUGACAGUCCCAGCUAACUGCAAGUGUGCCUCUGGGAAUGCAGACAAAGGUGUCACCGUGAUUAAUGGGAGUUCAGAGCAGCUUGGGCUGAUGAAGAUGAUGCUUGCAGACCAUGAUGCCACCAAGAGCUCCUCGGUGCCACUCUGCACUGACACAAUGGGAAGUCUGCUUUGGAUGGAGGGAAAGAAAAUGCUUUCUUCCCCUGGCUCAGUGUGAACCCAUCUCAGUAACGGAUGGAAGGAAUUCAGGGGAAGGAGGUGAAAGAUAGCACAGCUUUGACGCGGCAGAGAUGAGAAAUUUUGCACUUUGUCAUCGACUAAUGGGAACAAUAGCAGGAAUGAAAGCUGACUGCUUGCUUUUGGAAAGCAGAGGAGAGAAACAACCGACGUGCGAGAUGACAAGAAACAUCUUCCCCUGAAGGCCAAUCCGUGUGUCAUUUGAGCUCGAUGUUCUGGUCCUCUCAGUUAUUUAGGUGGCCUCCAGUCACGAAGAGCUGGAGCAUCGCUAGGGAGCUGCCCAGGUGCUGCGUGAGGACAAAGAUGCUCAGCUGGGAAAACCCUUUUCUUAAGCACUUGCCUGAAUUCCCUGUGGCUCGGACACGUGCAGCAGCACGGAGACCAGGUCCAGCCUGGCAUGUGGAUAUUUGAAAGGCCAUUUGUAGUCAGCCCGUGUAUCUGCCAACACAGCCUGCCUACUGUAACCAGCUCGCUCGUGUCAUCAUUUACUGCUCCUCCAAUAUUUGUGUCAACUGUGAUCUUUGCUGGCAGCAAGCUCAUGUUUUGCCUUCCAGAUCAUGGAGAAAAAUCUCCCAACAGCCCUGGGCUGAGAACAGAGCUUUGUCUGAACCUCACCAUGCUCGCCUGAGCUCCUGGGGCACCGGUGGCAUCCCCUGCUUCGGAGGAGUCAGGAUUUCUAGUCGAGAUCCCCAGUUCAUCCGCCUCCAUUUUGCCUGCUGAGCAGAACGACAGGACAUGCACUGGGGAAGUUGUUUUAGCCGCGGUCUUAGCUUGACAGCAGUGACGAGAGGGCAAAUGAUCUUUCUGUCAGUGUAGUGAAAGCCAUUGCAGGCUAUUGAUUUUUUUUAAUCACAGCACCCCAUUCAGAGUGGUGCAAAAUGCUGCUUUAAAUAUUAAUGCUUUUCCCACUGCUUUCUCCCUUUGCCCCCACGUCCUCCCAUUCCUGCACGGGUCCCAGGCUGUGGGGCAGCUGAGGGAUGCUCACCGAAUGAAGGAGGGCUGUACGUAAAGCACUCGGCAGUGCCCCUUUAACGCAGGAGCAACUUGACUUUUAUUGCCAGUGCUGAGAGCAUCUACAAACAUAGAUUUAGCAUCAGCCCCCAGGCUUAAGAUACAGCUGUUAUAUUUUUUCUUUCUCCCUUUAAUUUUUUUUCUCUCUCCUUUGUACUAAUGUAAUGCUUAUUUAGGAACUGCAGCCAUCUGUGUCUGCUAUGGAUGGCACUGUUAAAUUUGCUAUUGCUUUCUUUCCCCUGGUUUGAUGAGACUCCCAGUGCACAGAAAAUUUCCCAGGACAGCAGAGACUUUCUUUGAUUGCUUUUUUUGAUUCCCUCCAAAAGAGAAUGUUCACAGUGCUCUUUCUGUCCCGGAAAAAGGUCAGCAGCCAGAAAGCUGAGGAUCCUGCCUUACGUCGGGUUAAUGAGGUGAAUUUAUGAAGGGCUGGCCAGACAAGAAUGUUGUUGAAAGUAGAGGUGGCGGUUUUAUCUGCAAAUAAAAAGGGAGGGAAGGAGGAAGGGCUGGGACCAGAGCCCUUCCCGUUCCUCCGAGCAGCUUGUGGCUGACGGUGAGACAGCUCACGUGGGAAUUGGGACAGUUGCUGUACUCCAGGGAAUUUUCAGUGUUUUUCAAGUGGAAUAAUUCUGACUCGACAGAUGGACAGGGACCUAUCCCAAGUUAACAAUCUGGCGAUCAGCGAGCGCAGCGGGAGGCUCAGGCACAGCUCCGUUCCAGCCAGGCAGAGCAAUGAUGGGUGUGUGGUUUCGCCAUCAGGCACUUGGCUAUUUUUGUCAGGCGAGGCAGAAGUUGAUUUCUUCCUGUUUUGUCGCUGAGUUGCUUGCAAAUGGCUCGUGUUCACCCUUGUGAGGGAAGGUAAAUCUUAAAAAUAUCUCUGAAGGGAAGAAAAAAUAUCUUUUUCUUUUGGGCAAAGCCCUUGUAGAGUGAGUUGCUCCAGAGAAAGCCACCAUUCCUAAAAGUUAUUUACAUUUUAAUCCCCUUCUCUUUGUUUUCAUUUCGUGUUUUCUCUAUCAUGUGCUCCUUUCAACUCUUCCCCAUAGAACCAUAGCUUCUUUUUGCACCCCAGGCCACCUGCCUUGCUAAUAGCCCUCUUUGCAGAAAGGUUAACAAUAAGUUUAUAUGAAAAUACUUUACCAUCUGAUGGGGACCAGGUAUCGGGUGGUGGAGGUGCUGCUUUAUGGUUUGUAGGGGCUGAGGAGUUGUCACUUUUCUUACCACAAGCCCUUUGGCUGCAUCUGUUUGGGCACUCAGGGCCAUUCCUUGUCCCCUGCCCAUACUCUUCCUCCAAAGCAGUUUUUAAAUUGCCUUGCCAUCUCCCAGGAUGGGACAAGGAGUCGUUUGAAAUGGUUGCAAAUGGCCUGGGGUUCAAAGCCACAGUAGAGACGGUUGCAGUAAUGUGAUGGUGUAGGUGGUUAAGUUCCAAAUAUCAGGAAUAUUGGUUUGAUUUUCUAGGGUGCCUGAAGUCACAGGCUCACUGGAAGCUGUCAGCUGCCCCUGGACUUUUAUUGAUGCCUCUCCAUCCUUCAGAUCCUGGUAGUUAAGAGCACACAGUCACCUCCUUACGCUGCUGCCAUGCAUCACAGAACCGUUCCCUGGGAUUUGCUGCUAGGAUCCCAUGGAGCCUGUGGCACAUUAGCUCCUGAGCUGGCAAUUUGGACUCGUACCUGCAGUGCUGAAGUUUCCAGAGGCGUAAUGGGAUAUUUCGACACCCCCACUUCCAUUCUUGAAAUUCUGCUUUAAUUGCUUCUCUUCGGCUUUUGCUUAAGGUUUCCAACUCUGAUGGGUCAGUGUAUUGAUCCUGCACUUUGAUAAGAGCAGGUGCUGUCUGGGUAACUGACCAGCUGAGAUGACACAGACUGAACCCAAAAGGGUUCAUGAUAGAGCAAAACCAGUGGCCCCGCUCCCCAGUUCUGCAAAGGCUGCGCUGCGCCUCCAACGUGGUGCCUCCAGCCACAGCUCAUCUUGGAUGAUUCAGAGGAAGGCGACCAGCUGAGGUCUUGGAGGAUGAGAUUUGACUACAGCUAUCGGCUCAGUGAGAAGCUUCGAGGCUUAGCAGCAGAUAACACAGAAUUUCCUGUUCUUGUCAUGGCUCGAGGAAGGAGGAAGCGAGCAGGGGCACGCAUGGGUUCCCGGGCCGGAGGAAUCAUGCAAAUGGGCAUAAAAGAGGGAGUUAAGGAGGGACAAAAUGGGGAGUAAAAGAGGGAGCAGAUGCAAAUAGCCAGAGAAAACCUGGUUCCUGUCCCUGCUUGGAUGAAUAUUCACUUAUUCCAUGGAAAGCAUCUGCAGUCCUCAGUGGAGCUGGAGCUUUCUGAGCACGGGGCUUGCUGUCAGAUUCCCCCAGGAAGGGGAAGACGUGUUUGCUGAGAUCGUUGCUGGAGGAAUGAUCCUCGCCAUGGAGCCUUUCCAGGGCACUGCUCUCUGGAAUGCUCCUGGCCCUUGCUCUUCUUGGAAGCUCUGCUGAGACAUCUGUCAGCUCGAGCCCACAGAGGGAGGCCAAGGUUAGUUAAUGCAUUUAUUAGUACAAAUGGGAAAAAGAAAAAGAAAGCCCACACCUGACAAGCUGUCUUGGCAUCUCAUGAGAUGGGCGUAAAGCACGCAUCCAAGGUAAGUCCUAGUUUUUUGUCUCUAUCAGCUGGUCUAAUAAAAGCCCCUAAUGUUUCCUACAGGUCUUGCUGCCUUAAUUUUUGAGUUUGUUGAGGAGCUGGAGCCUGCUCAUCUGGGACACAGGGAGGCAGGGGAGGCAGCUCUCCCUAGGAACCCCCCAGAAGCCCAGGGGUGGCAGGUUGUGGUUCCAGUUCCAGCGGUGCUUCUGCUCGCCAUGCCCAGGCUGAACUCAGCACACUACAGCCAGGAGCUCCCGAACAUCAGCUGCAAUGCUCAGCUCAGCCCGUGCUCUUUCGGAAAUAACUCUGAAAGCUUAAAAGGCUCAUCCUUGCUCUAUCACAAUGUGGUUGCCAGGCUCCUUGGAGAAUGACAGCAAAGAGCUUCAAAGCAAUACAAAAAAAAAAAAAAAAGCCUUCCUCCAGCAGCCUUAGAUGCUGUCUGGCAGAGUAUGCAUACACUUGCUCUUCGUGUUUUUACACGAUCUGGAAGGUUGGCCUCUAAUUCUUACAGUCUUGAAAAAUAAUUCAUUUUCUCUUCUGGGAUUCCAGAUCAGGGAUUAAUUUAAUGAUUUUUUCUUUCCCAUUGUUUGUUUUUAAUGAUUAAGGUGAUAGUUAUAAAUUGUUAACAAGUUCUGGUAGAAAUGUGAUCCCUGGGAACUUUUUUUUACGCUGAAUAAAAUAACAGUGAGAUUGAUUUAGCAAAGCCGGGUGAGUUGCUGUGUCUUCAAAGAUUAUCUUGGUUCUGCAUGAAGGGCCAGCUCUUUGAGAGGUAUUUAGGCCUAACCGAAAUCAGGUGCUUAAGCACCUUCCAAAUAAGAGAGGCUUCUGUCUGUAGGGAGUGAUAAAAUUGUGUGCUAAAUCAGCCAGCGCAUUAGACCUUACUUUUUUGGCUGGGUAAUUUUUUCAGGCGGAUCGUUUCCUCUCCCAGACCGCUGAGCUGGCGCCGAGCGGUUAUUUUAUGGAAAACCUUCCUUUGCUGGAAGCAGCACGUGGCCCCGGGCUCGCUGGGGUGGCUGCGUGGCUGGGGCCAUGCCCACGGGUCGGUGUUUCGGCAUGACCGACUACCAGCCCGUGAGGACGCAUGGAGCUGGAGGUGGUGGGGUGGCGUUGGCUUGUCUUGCUCCCCCAGUUUGCUUUGGUCUCUUUGUUUAGUGUUUGCUGAUCUGUGAAAUGUGUUCUGGCCCUUGUUCCCAUGGGGCAGGGGCUUAUCUGAAAGCGGCAAACAGAGGUUUCUGGAGAAGUGUCUUCCAAGGAUGAUCUUCUUCCGAUAGAGGUUGUAAUUGUUUAAUGAUUUUCCAUAUGGAUUUCCGUGUGGGCUGCUACAGGACAGCCAGUGCUGGCUCGGCACUGGGGAGUUUCUGCUCGUGCUUGCUCUGGCUGCCCUCUCUUCCCCCAGCGCUCAGUGGUGGGGCUGGAUGCAGCCUUUGGGCUGGCCAGCUGGCCUCUGUGCACUCUCACAGUCUUUUGAUUUAUAUUUACCUUGAUUUUUUACUGCCCUGUGUCAGGCCCAAGCCUGAAACUUGUCACGUUUUUCCAAUUAAAUCAGUUGACCUUGUACAAAUGGAUUGUCUCUCCCUGCACACCUCGCCUCUCCACCAGCCUCGGUCUGCAUGGCUGCAGUUAUGCUCCUUUAAAAACACUGUUUUUGUGCUACCUCCAAGCCAUUGCAUCCCGCUCCCUGCUAUUGCAGACAACCAAGCUUCUCUUCCCUUUCUUAGGCUGAAAAAGAAAAAAAAACACCUUUCUUAUUGCACUGGCUUUCCUCCUAAUUGUUUGGACAGUGAAAAGCCUUAUUCUAGUUUCUCACCUAAAUUUAUUCAUGGAUGGUUUGUGACCUUUUGCUGAUGUUGUCCUUUCACCUUAAAUAGCACUUUCUCUUCCUUCAUGUUAAACCUCCCGAUACAUGAAGAGAGAACAAUUUUAUCACCUCUCCACCUUCAUUUUCUUAAACUAACAAGUCAGGGCCUCCCAGCAGCUGACUCUUGUAAAAAGGCCACCUUUGCUCCGAUGCUGCAGAUAGCCUUCCUCUGAGCCAGUUCCAGCCUGAGCUCGCCAUCCUUGACCCCAAUUUUGGGUGACAAGGAUUGCGUGGUGCUUCACACGGGGUCUCGCCAGGCUGUGUGCAGUGACCCUUGUCCCCCCGAAGCACACACAGGUACUUAUGAGGCCCCAGUGUUUACACGGGGCUUCUGCAGGAUGCGAGACCACUCUGUUUGAGGAAUGGGAUUUUAAAAGGUUUGAUCCCUUUCACAAUGAAGUCACAGUUGAAAUUCCCAUCGAUUGCUAAGGCGUGUGUCCAGGACUUAAUAAGUCUUGUUGCUCUGUGCCAGAAGUGGUGAACUCCUCUGACAUGAUAAAUCGCGUGCCAAAGGUGUUGAUGCAUCUGACCGAGGGGAGCAGGAGCUCCAGGAUCGUGUGGUUCAAAGCAGGUGAUGGCAGUGUGCAGCCAGGGAUGGGUUCCCUCCUCCUGCCCCCCUUUGCUUUACUCAAGGAGCAAAGAUCAUGUAAAUAUUGUUAAAUUGUGUUUUAAAAGAAAAAGAUGUGAAAUGGAACCCUUGGCACUCUGGUGGAGGAGAGAAGGAUUUCAAUGGAUGGAAAUUUCAAUGGAUGCCCAGCGGAGCCUGGGCAAGGCUGAGCAGGUGGAGAGGUUUCGGACACAUCCAGAGCUGCGGGCUGUGCCUGAGAUGGUUGAGCCCUACCCAGGUGGGAGUGCUGGCAGCAGACAAUCGGGAGGGCAGUGCCAUGAGGCACACGAGGAUCCUCCUUUCUAACCAUUGCAUGCGAUGCUGGGAACCGCAGCUGAGUCCUGAGGCUGGCUGGAGAUCAACCAGAGAUCCUGCCUGAUGGAAACAGAAUCCUUCUGUUUCCUGAUCUAAGCCCUGUAACACAAAGCAGAUGUAAAGGUCCAGCUGAGAUCAGGAAAUCUUUUGUGUGCGAGGUGGAGGCAAAAAAAAAAAAAAAAAAAAAAAAAAAAAAAAAGGAAAAAAGAAAUCACUGCCAGCCCACGGAGCCUGUGCAGGGGGCAAGCAGGUAUGUGUGGGGCAGAGAGCUGGCUGAAGGGAAAGGGACGCUGCCUGCUGAAGCACAACCUGCCCUUCUGGAGUAAUAACGAUAAAAAGCAGUGCCACGGGAAUGAAACAGAGGCAACCCAGCCCGCGUCCAUUUCUGAACCUAAUACCCUCAAAGCCCUGCCACCCAGGCUUCCCGAGGCUGGGUGGGACCUGCCCUGCGCUGCCCUGCCUUGUCUUCUCUGCUUCCCGCAGGGGUGUGUGGCCAAGCAAGGAGCACCUGGGUUAAAUAACGCCUGUGGCACGACCUAUGCCUUCUGCAGGACCAGGUGGGUGCCGGGCCGGAUUCUGCGUUGCCAGCAGCACCCGUCGUCUGCCUCUCUGCACCAUGGGGGUCCCAAAUCCUGCGUGGCAGCCCCGCAAGUUGCUAAACAAAGCAAGGGAAAAAUCAGGCACAAGCUGUGCAAUUUGCAGAUGAUCUGUGUACCUGCUAGUUUGUAACAGAUGUUUUCCUUUGCGUGACCAUUUGUGAGCAGCUUCCUUGUCACAGUCUGUAGUAGCUGCAGUGCUUGGGAGUGAGUGAUACCUUGCACCUGCACAGAACAAUAUUCCUGAGCAUAAACCAGGUUUACAAUUCUGGAAAGCUGCUGUUGCGCAGAGUUUUAUAUCCAGUGCAAGCAACAGCAAAAUAAAACCGUACAAUAUUUUUGAAACGUGUUAGAAAAAAAAAACUAGAAGAGGGGAAUUGCAUGCAUGGGAUUGGGUCCGUGCAGCUCUGUCCUCUCCGAGGGGUGGCCAGAAGCAGAUGCUGCAAAGGGAGGUGCAGCAGAAGGCAGAUCUGCCCCAUGUUAGAUAUCACCCCUAAUAACGGGAGGCUGCCUUGCAAUAUCAUUAGCACUGUCAACAGGGAUGUUGCUGUUUAGCUGUCGUAACUCUGGCUAUUCUUGUUAUCCGUAUACAUGCCUGCUUCCUUUCCAAAAUGUCACAAAUUCUUGGCCACGACAACUUCCCGUGGAAGUUAGCUCCAUAGUUUAAUUAUGCAUUGUGCAAGCGCAGUGUUUCCUUCUGCGAGGCCAUGCCAGGUGGUGUCAGCAGCACAGAAAAGCCGGGUCAAUUAUUAUAGGGUUGCUUCUGAACAGCGAAACAUCAGCACAGCCUAACUAGCACAGGCACAGGUUAUGCCAGGCAUUUCAGACAAGCCUGUAACAGAUAAAAGGACUGAAAUUCCUCGUCUCCUGGGCGAGCUGGCAGGUGAAUGGGAACGUAAUACCUUCCUUUGGGUUACCCGCAAGGGGGAGAGGGAGUCUCUGGCUCAGAAAGGCAGAUGAGUUUUCCUUGUUCCUUUUGAGCUGUGCCAGUGGAAUGGGAUUCUGGAAAAAUGCACAACAAAAAGAGGAAUGAGCUGAGUCUUGUGCUGAAGAGACAAAUUUUGCAGGGAGCUUUCUCCCUGGCAUGUGGCACUCUCCCAGAUAACAAAGGUCUUUCGGUCACCUGGGGCUUGGAGUGCAUGGGUACGGGAGGAGGCUGCCCUGCCUGGGUUAGCAGUGCUUGCCCUGUGUCAGCACGCUCCCACAAACGCCUUUCUCACCCACCCAGCUGGCGGGUGAUGCUAAACCACCUGAAGUUUGCUCCUGUGCUCGUUUUGUGCCAUGUUCCCAUGUGGACUCACCUGCAGAGAUCUGUGCAAAGCUGGAUUCCCUGCGGGCGCUGCCGGAGCCUGCUGCAGUCUGUCGGGACCAGCCGCUUGCCAUCUGCUGUGGGAACAGGCAGCAGAGAGCAUGCACCGUGACGGGGUGAGCAAGAGCAAACCAGCCUGCUGCGACAAGAAACUCAAGGGGACUGAAGAUGGCACCCGCAUUUUGGGACAGACAGAGAGUCAGCUGCUGCCUCUGGAGCAGAGCUCCACAGCCAGAUGCCUCCUGCAGUGAUGCCAGGUCCCCUCACCUGAGAUUUUAGGGUGUUAAACAGUUUCCUUCUGGUAGGGCAUUUGGGGACUGAUUAAAAUGGAUGCUCAGCUCUGUCUGGAUGGGGCUGGUAGUGUGGCUGAGGAGCGUGACCCACCUGGCUCCCAAGGAGGAAAUAACUCUGCUUCUCAAUCACUGAUUUCUGACUUUUUGCAGCCACCCAGAACUGGCUGUUCAAACUGAACCUCUCCAUCCUGACAUCACAUCGUUGGUCUGUUAUGGGACUUACUCCAUUUCACCAACUCUGUCACGUCCUCAGGCCUACCAAGGGCUUAAAGGAAACCCUCCUCUACAAGGUGGUGAAGUAGUGUCCCUGUGGAAACACUGCAUCCGUGCAAGUGCCUAGAGGUAAGCAGGGCCCAGGUGUGUCUCAGGCAGAUGGUUUCACUGAGAUAUUAAGAGAAGCACUGGGACACAUUGCAAGGAAUAUAGAGGGAAGAAGUAGACUGACAGAUUUGUGAUGUUCCUGGAUUCAGGAGCUGGCCAGCAAAGGGUCUAGCAAGUGACCAGUGAUACAACUGUUUAUUGAAACAAGGAGGCAGGAAUGGUGGUCUAGAAUGAGCAGUGUGAUGCUCAUGUGAAAUUGGUUAAAAAAAAAUAAAAAAAUCCGUUUGGCAGGACUCUUUGCUGCCACCAAGCCUGAUAUUUUGUCUGGUGGCUUCAAAGGUUUUUUUCCCACAUUUGGGAGAGGCUGCAGAGGGACACAGCAGCGCUGCUGGUGUCUGUAGCUUGGUGUCAUGGUGCCAAAGAUGUGCAUGGGUCAUCAGGUGCAGGCGUAAGGGUGAUGGAUAACCUAGAGAUCCUAACGAGCCUUCCUUGUAAGGAUCAUACCUUAAUGAGGAACACUGGCACUGUCAGUCCUAUCUGUUAACUUUGAUCUUGGUCGCUGUCAGCCAGUGGAGUCAGUAGGAGUCAGAAGAAACAUUUUUGCCUAAAUAAGAGGUUCUUCUGUCUCUCAAGUGCCUGCUAUUUGGCUAAUUUAUCCUAAGGGAAGGUUAUUUGUUAACUGCCUCUUAAGAGUUUCCAACAGAGCUGAAGGAGGGGUGACAACUCCUCUUCACAACCACCCCCGAGGGGAGGCAGGGCUGGCAGUGCAGGCACCUACCCAGGCUGGUUAGCACCGGCAGCAGGUACUGAGCAUCUGCAGGGGAGCUGCAGAUAUGAUUUAGCAUCCUUGGUAUGCUGGUGCCCAUCUGGAGUGGCAGCAAGCUGGGAGGAGUACCCUUGGACAGCCCAAACAGAACGAGGUCCUUGUGUUUUGGCAACUGAAUACCACCCAUCUGUUUCUAAAGAGGGCUUUUGAAUUCAGAGCACUCUGAGGAAGGAAGAGAAUUGAAUAUGGUGCAGAAGGAGAGCAAGUGAGCCUCAAGUGCUGGUCAGUGACAGCAACUUCAGGGAGGGUCAGCCCUGGUUUCUGGGGCUGGAGAACCUCUGUCUCAGGCAACAGGGACUUGAACCUGCAGCAUCUGUGCUGUGGUCUGUAGUCCCUGUACCCCUCUGUCAAGCUUUAGUUUUCAUUCCAAAGGAGAAUGAAUAAUCCUUGGGGGUGGCUGUGAAGAGGAAUUGUCACCCUUCCUUCAGCUCUAUCAGAAACUCUUCAAGAGGCAGUUAACAAAUAACCUUCCCUUGGGAUAAAUUAGCUCUGAAUCCCAAUUCAAUAGAUGCUCAUUUUAAGAUGUCCUUGUUACCUUGUGUGAGUGGCUGAUCUUCCUUUGAAUCCUGCUGUGUUUUCAGACCCCGUGAUUGCUGCGAGCAAUCAUGAGUUCCACAUUAACAGCUCAUGCACUGAUUGCACUGAGCAGUCCCAACACAACCUUUUGUGAAAAGUUUUUGAAAGUUGAGCUCCAUGCUAUGCUAUCAGAAAGCUACACAGAUCUCACUCCAUCACAUAUUCUGGCAACUGACUUCAAAUGAGACCUGGUUUGCAGGGGCUGGUGUGCAGACAAGAACUGUGCUUCAGAGUCCAGCUUUUGAAAGAACAUCUUUUAGGCAUUGUCAAGGAAACCUGCUGAUGACGCAGAGUUGGCCAACUGCGCCUCCAGGCAGCCUGGAGCAAAGGCUCUGAGAUGUUCAAAUAGUAACCCUAAUGGAUUUUUUUUUUCUCCUCCCCAACAUUGUUCCAGAGUAGGAGAGUGUCAUUGGAUAGCUACAAAGAAGAAAGAACUGCAUCAGAAAGAAAACCCUCCUGCCAUGUCAUCUUGCCCAGACCUUCCAGUGAGGCAGCCUUUCAACUCAGAGUAGGACUAUGUCUCACGUACCAAAAGUAUUGCCACUGUUUGCAAAAAGCAAGGCAUCCUUAUUAAUAAGCCUCUCCAAAAACGAUGAAAUGAAACAUGCAAUCUUGCACAGAUGCUCUAAUAUAUAGCUUUGACUUUUGCGACAGUUGAUAGAUUUUUAUUUCCCUCACACCAGUGGCAGCUGUAGUGUAAAGUAUCGUGUCGAUUAAAAAUCUAUUUAAUCAAAUGCUGUCAGGGGAAGAGUUCAAAACAUUUGAAGAAUGAUUCCUAAAAGCUGUCCCUUGACUGUGAGUGAAGUCAUCCAGAGAUUGGCCUGGCAGGCUGGAGUGCAAUACAAAAUCUCUGCUCACCUUUAUUUCUAAAGCUACCAACAAACUACAGUGAUGAGUAUUGAGAGGAACCUUUGUCCAGCAGAACAGUGUAGGCUGUGGACAUUUCUUUUCUGGGAGAUAUGCCCCAAGAAACUUUUGUUGUAGAUAAAACCCAUUACUCAAUUUAUCAAUCCCUACUUACACUUCAAAUUCUUAUAUCCCAAAUCCAUGGGAUGGAUUAGAUACCUUAAUGUGGAAUGCAAAAGUAGGCUGGAAAUCAUUGCUGUGCAAAUUGUGCAGACAGUUUUUUUCUGUUCCAUGACUGAAAUGGACUUCAAAAGAAUAAAUAAAAUCCAUUCUGGUAGCCCCCAGUGAGGAGUACACUUCCUUGCAGAAAGGGAAAAAAAAACAACAAGCUCCCAAUAUUUUAUUCAGCCCAGAGUGAAAUGUUUUGAUAUGGGGGAAUUUAGCUAAUUUUCUUACUUCUCAAAAUAGGUCAACUUUGAAAUAGAAAAUGUCACGUUGAAAAAAAAAAAAGCUGAAUGGAUUUGUUUAGAAAAUGUAAGAAUAUAUAUACAUAUUUUUGGAAGUUUAACAAGCUUUUGAAUAGAAAGAAAGCAUCCAGGCAAUUUCUAAUUCAAUUAGACUUGGAUUUGGGACCAGCUUUCACUCUCCAUAAACUGCAUUUCUUUUUCAUUUAGAAAAUCCCCUUCCUCCAUCAAAGCCCCUUCUAGCUAUAGCUGGAAAUAAAUAGCUAUAAUGUAGCUGGAACGAGUGAGUACGGCCAUACUGAGUCAACUAACCACUGUACUUUUCUUUCCCAAGGCUCUCCAAGCAUCCAGGCAUGUUCACCAGAGUGUGUUGGCAUUUGGGACUGUGUAGGGAAAACCAGGGUGUGUGCUGCUGGGCCUGUUAUGGAGGAAGUUUUAUCCCAGCAACCCUCUCCUGCAGGACUUCUCAAGGCUUGUCUUUGUCCUCUUAACACCACAUUUUUUGUUCAUUACAAUAAAAAGCUUACAAAAUAGCUUUCUCUUUCUCUCUCUCUCUCUCUUUUUUUUUUUUUUCUUUUUUUUUUUUCCACCUUGGUAGCAUUUCUGUGUUCCUAUACCUUCUCUCUUUGCUCUAUCAUUUAUGUAUGUGUAAGUAGUAAGUUAGAUCCUAUUCUCACUCUGGGGGGUUGGGUUCCAAACUGUUUAUUGAGUAAUAAAAAGAGAAAAUUACAA